rnacentral:tRNA from 1 species
CGGGGUAUAGCGAAGCCUGGUUAUCGCGCCUGCUUUGGGAGCAGGAGGUCGCUGGUUCGAAUCCAGCUACCCCGA